UACGUAGGUGGCAAGCGUUGUCCGGAUUUACUGGGCGUAAAGAGCGCGCAGGCGGUCGUUCAAGUCGCGUGUGAAAGCCCCCGGCUCAACUGGGGAGGGUCACGCGAUACUGAUCGACUCGAAGGCAGGAGAGGGAAGUGGAAUUCCCGGUGUAGUGGUGAAAUGCGUAGAUAUGUGGAGGAACACCGAUGGCGAAGGCAGCCCCCUGGGUUAACACUGACGCUCAUGCACGAAAGCGUGGGGAGCAAACAGG
rnacentral:rRNA from 1 species